rnacentral:rRNA from 1 species
UACGGAGGGUGCAAGCGUUAUCCGGAUUCACUGGGUUUAAAGGGUGCGUAGGUGGGUCUGAAAGUCAGUGGUGAAAUCUCCGGGCUCAACCCGGAAACUGCCAUUGAUACUACAGGUCUUGAAUUUUCUGGAGGAUAGCGGAAUAUGUCAUGUAGCGGUGAAAUGCUUAGAUAUGACAUAGAACACCAAUUGCGAAGGCAGCUAUCUACAGGGAUAUUGACACUGAGGCACGAAAGCGUGGGGGAUCAAACAGG